rnacentral:rRNA from 1 species
UACGGAGGGUGCGAGCGUUGUCCGGAAUCACGGGGCGUAAAGGGCGCGUAGGUGGCGCGAGGAGUCUGUGGUGAAAGCCCGAGGCUCAACUUCGGGUCGGCCGCGGAUACUCGCGUGCUGGAGGGUGGUAGAGGCCAAUGGAAUUCCAGGUGUAGCGGUGGAAUGCGUAGAGAUCCGGAAGAACACCGGUGGCGAAGGCGGUUGGCUGGGCCACACCUGACACUGAGGCGCGACAGCGUGGGGAGCAAACAGG